rnacentral:rRNA from 1 species
AACUACGUGCCAGCAGCCGCGGUAAUACGUAGGGGGCAAGCGUUAUCCGGAUUUAUUGGGCGUAAAGGGCUCGUAGGCGGCUCGUCGCGUCCGGUGUGAAAGUCCAUCGCUUAACGGUGGAUCUGCGCCGGGUACGGGCGGGCUGGAGUGCGGUAGGGGAGACUGGAAUUCCCGGUGUAACGGUGGAAUGUGUAGAUAUCGGGAAGAACACCAAUGGCGAAGGCAGGUCUCUGGGCCGUUACUGACGCUGAGGAGCGAAAGCGUGGGGAGCGAACAGGAUUAGAUACCCUGGUAGUCCACGCCGUAAACGGUGGACGCUGGAUGUGGGGCACGUUCCACGUGUUCCGUGUCGGAGCUAACGCGUUAAGCGUCCCGCCUGGGGAGUACGGCCGCAAGGCUAAAACUCAAAGAAAUUGACGGGGGCCCGCACAAGCGGCGGAGCAUGCGGAUUAAUUCGAUGCAACGCGAAGAACCUUACCUGGGCUUGACAUGUUCCCGACGACGCCAGAGAUGGCGUUUCCCUUCGGGGCGGGUUCACAGGUGGUGCAUGGUCGUCGUCAGCUCGUGUCGUGAGAUGUUGGGUUAAGUCCCGCAACGAGCGCAACCCUCGCCCCGUGUUGCCAGCACGUUAUGGUGGGAACUCACGGGGGACCGCCGGGGUUAACUCGGAGGAAGGUGGGGAUGACGUCAGAUCAUCAUGCCCCUUACGUCCAGGGCUUCACGCAUGCUACAAUGGCCGGUACAGCGGGAUGCGACAUGGCGACAUGGAGCGGAUCCCUGAAAACCGGUCUCAGUUCGGAUCGGAGCCUGCAACCCGGCUCCGUGAAGGCGGAGUCGCUAGUAAUCGCGGAUCAGCAACGCCGCGGUGAAUGCGUUCCCGGGCCUUGUACACACCGCCCGUCAAGUCAUGAAAGUGGGCAGCACCCGAAGCCGGUGGCCUAACCCCUUGUGGGAUGGAGCCGUCUAAGGUGAGGCUCGUGAUUGGGACUAAGUCGUAACAAGGUAGCCGUACCGGAAGGUGCGGCUG